UACGUAGGCAGCAAGCGUUGUUCGGAGUUACUGGGCGUCAAGAGUAUGUAGGCGGUGUCCUAAGUUCGGCGUGAAAUCUCCCGGCUCAACUGGGAGGGUGCGCCGAAGACUGGGAUGCUGGAGUCUCGGAGAGGAACGCGGAAUUCCUGGUGUAGCGGUGAAAUGCGUAGAUAUCAGGAGGAACACCGAUGGCGAAGGCAGCUCGCUGGGACGGUACUGACGCUGAGGCGCGAAAGCGUGGGGAGCGAACAGG
rnacentral:rRNA from 1 species